rnacentral:lncRNA from 1 species
GGCACCACGGUUCGGCUCCCCCCCCCUCCCUGUCCUCCCCCCUCCAAAUCAGGCUGAGGUUUGGUGAGGGCGUAGCGCGGUGCCCGUGGGGACACGUGUGGAGGUGGUGGCAGAGCCGUGGCUGCUGGAUUUGGCCGCCCCGCCGGGGUUUGGGUGCUGUGGGGGGUGCAGGGACGCCCCGGGGGGGGCCACGCUGCCCCGUCCCCCACUCACCGCAGGCACCUCCGGGUGCGGAGCGCGACGCCGUCGCCGCAGGAGCUGGAGCAGGAGCUCCAGGGUCCCCAGGGCCCCCAGACACCCCGCGCCGGCUGCCGGCGGGGCCGAGCAGGGGCUGGGGGCUUGGGGACCCGCGUCGGUGUCCCCAGGGCUGGGCCCUGCAUGGAGGAAGGUGCCGGUCAGCGCCGGGGCCGGGUUGGAGGAGCCCGGGGGCGCCACCGCGCACCCCGAAACCCCCUCACCUGCGCUGUGCCGACGCCGCAGCCCAGGCUGAGCCAGGCCAGGAGCAGCAGCCGCCACGGCCGCCGGCACCUGCGGGAGCGGAGAGCCCUGAGCCCCGGCGUCCCCAGGGAGCGGGGGGGCAGCAGUGGGGUGCCCCACAGCCAUCGGUCCCGCCAGCGCUGCCGAGGGCCGGGGGGGGGGACCCCAGCGAGGGGGAAGGUGGCGAGAUGGAGGGAAGGGGAGCCACAGCGGGAGGGUCCCCGGCGGGGAUGGGGGGUCUGGGGCCUCCGACGCCACGAGCGGGGCCACGCGGGUGGGUGCAGCCGAGCGGGCGACGCCGCGUCCCGCACACGUGCCCAGGCGGCAGCGGGCACCGGAGACGGCACCGCCGCACCCACGGCCCCGCGGCGGGAGCCGGGCCGGGCUCGGGGCCUGCCGGGACAGGACCAGACCUGUGCGGCGGGGCUGGGGCUCCGCGUCGCUCCCUGAGCCGGAUCCGGCCCCACCGUGGGGGGGCUUUCGGGUGCUGCUACCGGCUGGUGGAGGUGGCCAGCGGCCGGGUCUAUGCGGCAAAGGUCAUCCCGCGAGCCCAGCUCGCUGCCGUGGGCGUCGCGGAGAGGGUGAGUUGUGGGGGGGACACCCUAAAAAUCCCCAGGGAGGGAGGGGGGCGAUACCCACGGGGACCCCACAGAGCCCUGCCCUUGUCUUCUCCCUCCUUCCCGGUCGCCGAGUGGGUUCCCAUCGCCGUCCCCCCAAAGGUGGGUGCNGGGCUGCCGGGCUCGUGCCGCCGCAGGUGGAGCGGGAGCGGGAGCUGCACGGUCGCCUGCGUCACCGGCACAUCGUCCGCCUGCACGGGCACUUCGCCGCCGGCACCCACCUCUACCUGCUGCUGGAGUACUGCGGCCGGCGGGUGAGCGAGCGCCCGCACCCCAAAACCCAGCACCCCCACACCGGGGCGGCCCCGGGGCCCCGAGCUGGCGGCUGGUUCCGUUCCUCAGUCGCUCGCCCACAUCCUGCGGGCGCGGGGGAGGCUGACGGAGCCGGAGGUGCGGUAUUACCUGCGGCAGAUCAUCUCGGGGCUGCGCUACCUCCACGGCCAGGGCAUCAUCCACCGCGACCUCAAACCGAGUGCGUGGGGCAGCGGGGAGGAAUGGGG